CAGUCGCCGCGGUAAUACGUAGGUCCCGAGCGUUGUCCGGAUUUAUUGGGCGUAAGGGAGCGCAGGCGGUUUAGUAAGUCUGUAGUUAAAGGCAUUGGCUCAACCAAUGUAUGCUUUGGAAACUGUUAGACUUGAGUGCAGAAGGGGAGAGUGGAAUUCCAUGUGUAGCGGUGAAAUGCGUAGAUAUAUGGAGGAACACCGGUGGCGAAAGCGGCUCUCUGGUCUGUCACUGACGCUGAGGCUCGAAAGCGUGGGUAGCGAACAGGAUUAGAUACCCGUGUAGUCCCUGUCUCUUAUACAC
rnacentral:rRNA from 1 species